CCUACGGGCGGCAGCAGUGAGGAAUAUUGGUCAAUGGACGAGAGUCUGAACCAGCCAAGUAGCGUGAAGGAUGACUGCCCUAUGGGUUGUAAACUUCUUUUAUAUGGGAAUAAAACGUUCCACGUGUGGGAUUUUGUAUGUACCAUAUGAAUAAGGAUAGGCUAACUCCGUGCCAGCAGCCGCGGUAAUACGGAGGAUCCGAGCGUUAUCCGGAUUUAUUGGGUUUAAAGGGAGCGUAGGUGGAUUGUUAAGUCAGUUGUGAAAGUUUGCGGCUCAACCGUAAAAUUGCAGUUGAAACUGGCAGUCUUGAGUACAGUAGAGGUGGGCGGAAUUCGUGGUGUAGCGGUGAAAUGCUUAGAUAUCACGAAGAACUCCGAUUGCGAAGGCAGUUCACUGGACUGCAACUGACACUGAGGCUCGAAAGUGUGGGUAUCAAACAGGAUUAGAUACCCGAGUAGUC
rnacentral:rRNA from 1 species